rnacentral:lncRNA from 1 species
UAGGAGAAGGGAUGGGUUCAAUGAAAGAGAAGUGUGCAAUCACGAAAUGAUAGAGGUCCAAGCGAAGCGGGUUAAUUGAAGCACAGAUGGCAUCCAUUGGACCAACUGCAUGGUGAUUACGGCUCAAUUUGCACGUUUGUGAUUGCCUGCACUGCCAUAAAAACCCUUGUCGCUAUUCAGAUGGAUUCAGAACUCUCUUAGAUACCUUCUUUAGGCGAAUAACUUUAAAAUAUCAUAAAGAAACAGUUAUCUCAUUUUUUUUCUGGAAUUUGCAUAAUUUGCAUAACAUCAAAAAAUACUAACUUCGUAGGAUUUUGCAAAGGUAUGCUUCUGAAUUUUGCAUGAGUGAAUGAACUUCGUCUAAGUGGAAAAAGAAAUAUAUUUCAUAUUUUCUUGGAUUAGUUUUAAGGUCUUCCCUGAAGUCCGGAGGAAUUGUGAGCUUUUAAAUAAUGAAAGAAAGAGUUGCAUUAUUUUUCUGGAACUCUUUACUUAAUUAUCAUAAUAUCUAAGACUACUAACUCAUAAAGACUUUUACAAAGUGCUAUUCUGGAUUCCGGAGUGAACUUCUUGAAAGUGAAAAGGAAAUACAUUCCAUACUUUGUUGGAUUAGUCUGUCUUUAGCUAGUUGUUUUCUCUGAGAUAAGGAAGAGGAAAAGUGCUAAAAAGUGUAAGUGAAAAAGUUAAAGAAAAGUUCUAUUGAAAAAGUUUCCCAGGCGUCUUUUCUUUUGGCGAAUACCUUUAUCCUGAAAGAGAAAGUGAUCUAAUUUUCUCAAUUUUUUUCUGGAACAAUUUGCGUCAUUAACUUAAUGCCUAAUAGCUGCUAACUUCAAGAGAUUUUACAAAGUGUGUUUUUGAAUUUUGCUUCAGCGCAAGAAUUUCUUCAAAGCGAAAUAUAUAUAUACAUAUAUGUAUUCUAUAUUUUUUUGGAUAUCAAGGGUUAUUCUAGCUGGCUGCUGUCCUUAAAAUAAGGCGGUGGGAAUUGUGUGCUAAAAACUUAAGUGAAGAAGAACUCUUAAAUAGAGAAAAAAAGAAAAGAAAAAAAAAUAACCAAGAAACCUAGGUGAAGAAGAGAUGAAGAAGAGAAAAAAAGCCUUAGAAAAUCGAUUUAAACGUAAACGCUCAAAAUGGAAAUGUAAUUAAAAACGAAACAAACAUAUUCCAUAUUUUAUUAGACUGAUACUCAGAUCUAAUCUAACUGAUUAUUUUUCGUUGUACAAGGAAGAAAAAUUUUAUGUAGGAAAGAAAUGGUACAAAAAUAGAAUUUCGAAAUAUCGCUGAAGUGAUUUUGAAAGAAAUUGCAAAAUGAAAGCAAAAGACAUGUGUUCCAUUUUUCAUUAGAUGUAAAGCAUCUAAUUUCAUUUCUCCAAAUAAGGAUGAAUGACUUGAUGUGAAAGAAAGGAGUAAGGAAAAAGGUAUUCAAAAGAAGAAUUUUAAACCGCGUGCAGUUUAGUUGCAUCUAAGUUUGAGCAAAAUAGCAUUUAGAGGUUGUUGAGCAUGAUUACAUAAUUUAUACAGCUUAAGAUUAAUUUUGAAAGGUAAUUCACGUAAAUGAUUAAAAAAAAUUUCCAUAAAAUCUUACAAUAUGAUUAUAUGAUUACAAGACCUGUAUUAUUGAUUACUAGAAAAAUUAAUUUAAACAGCAUUAUGACGAGUUUACAUUCCUUAAAGUUUGGAUACAUAAUAAUAUAUGAACAUCAUUUUACCGAGUAGCUGGACUUCCAAUAUUUGUGAGAACAUCAGUGGAGUAAAAUAGGAUAAUUCAAGGAUAAUUUCUUGAAAUCUUGAAAAAUCUAGGAUAAUUUCUUGAAAAAUUUAAGUCACUUUAGUAUAAAUUAAAUCUCAUUUGCUUUCCUUGAAACUUUAAGCAAUGCAAAGUUUUGUAUAAUUUGAAUCCAAUUUUGCGUUAUCUUGUUCUUAUUAUCAAUGAUCUUGUGACGAAUUUUGACGGAGAAAAAAAUCAUUUUUUGACACGCAAGUGUUUUCAAGACCUAUGCCUAUGAACAAAAAGGAAGACCCUUUCGAGUUGAGAGGUUUUUUGCUGCAUCCGCUUCUGCGGUUAAAAAUUUGAGCAACAGAGAAAAGUUGAGAUUUCAAUGGCAAAUUCAUAGAAGAAAUGGAAAAUCAGGAUUUCAGAGAAUCAUUGCCUGUUUAUGUUUUCCAGUCUCUAUUUUAAGGAAAUUAAUCAGCUUUAUUUGCUCACAUACUUGAGGAUAUUUUGUAAUGUUGCAGUUAAUAAAAAAAUUUCAUGUA